GACGAACGCUGGCGGCGUGCCUAAUACAUGCAAGUUGAGCGCUGAAGGUUGGUACUUGUACCAACUGGAUGAGCAGCGAACGGGUGAGUAACGCGUGGGGAAUCUGCCUUUGAGCGGGGGACAACAUUUGGAAAAGAAUGCUAAUACCGCAUAAAAACUUUAAACACAAGUUUUAAGUUUGAAAGAUGCAAUUGCAUCACUCAAAGAUGAUCCCGCGUUGUAUUAGCUAGUUGGUGAGGUAAAGGCUCACCAAGGCGAUGUUACAUAGCCGACCUGAGAGGGUGAUCGUCCACAUUGGGACUGAGACACGGCCCAAACUCCUACGGGAGACAGCAGUAGGGAAUCUUCGGCAAUGGACGAAAGUCUGACCGAGCAACGCCGCGUGAGUGAAGAAGGUUUUCGGAUCGUAAAACUCUGUUGGUAGAGAAGAACGUUGGUGAGAGUGGAAAGCUCAUCAAGUGACGGUAACUACCCAGAAAGGGACGGCUAACUACGUG
rnacentral:rRNA from 1 species